rnacentral:rRNA from 1 species
GCUGGUCUGAGAGGAUGACCAGCCACACUGGAACUGAGACACGGUCCAGACUCCUACGGGAGGCAGCAGUGGGGAAUAUUGCACAAUGGGCGCAAGCCUGAUGCAGCCAUGCCGCGUGUAUGAAGAAGGCCUUCGGGUUGUAAAGUACUUUCAGCGGGGAGGAAGGGAGUAAAGUUAAUACCUUUGCUCAUUGACGUUAUCCGCAGAAGAAGCACCGGCUAACUCCGUGCCAGCAGCCGCGGUAAUACGGAGGGUGCAAGCGUUAAUCGGAAUUACUGGGCGUAAAGCGCACGCAGGCGGUUUGUUAAGUCAGAUGUGAAAUCCCCGGGCUCAACCUGGGAACUGCAUCUGAUACUGGCAAGCUUGAGUCUCGUAGAGGGGGGUAGAAUUCCAGGUGUAGCGGUGAAAUGCGUAGAGAUCUGGAGGAAUACCGGUGGCGAAGGCGGCCCCCUGGACGAAGACUGACGCUCAGGUGCGAAAGCGUGGGGAGCAAACAGGAUUAGAUACCCUGGUAGUCCACGCCGUAAACGAUGUCGACUUGGAGGUUGUGCCCUUGAGGCGUGGCUUCCGGAGCUAACGCGUUAAGUCGACCGCCUGGGGAGUACGGCCGCAAGGUUAAAACUCAAAUGAAUUGACGGGGGCCCGCACAAGCGGUGGAGCAUGUGGUUUAAUUCGAUGCAACGCGAAGAACCUUACCUGGUCUUGACAUCCACGGAAGUUUUCAGAGAUGAGAAUGUGCCUUCGGGAACCGUGAGACAGGUGCUGCAUGGCUGUCGUCAGCUCGUGUUGUGAAAUGUUGGGUUAAGUCCCGCAACGAGCGCAACCCUUAUCCUUUGUUGCCAGCGGUCCGGCCGGGAACUCAAAGGAGACUGCCAGUGAUAAACUGGAGGAAGGUGGGGACGACGUCAAGUCAUCAUGGCCCUUACGACCAGGGCUACACACGUGCUACAAUGGCGCAUACAAAGAGAAGCGACCUCGCGAGAGCAAGCGGACCUCAUAAAGUGCGUCGUAGUCCGGAUUGGAGUCUGCAACUCGACUCCAUGAAGUCGGAAUCGCUAGUAAUCGUGGAUCAGAAUGCCACGGUGAAUACGUUCCCGGGCCUUGUACACACCGCCCGUCACACCAUGGGAGUGGGUUGCAAAAGAAGUAGGUAGCUUAACCUUCGGGAGGGCGCUUACCACUUUGUGAUUCAUGACUGGGGUGAAGUCGUAACAAGGUAACCGUAGGGGAACCUGCGGUUGGAUCACCUCCUUACCUUAAAGAAGC